GAUCCCACAGAUAACACAUGUUCAAAUGUGGCCACCACCAAAAUAAUUCUCAAUUUUUACUUUUUCCAAAAUUCUUUUGAGAACCCAAAACCUUACUUUCCUGCCUCAAGAGUCUAAAGUGUGACUUGGGUAUUGUGUAUUCUUUAGAGAACUUAAAAGAUAUCAUACAUUAGUGUGGGUGGGGUGGGUGAUACGAGUUCAUCCUUGCUUGUCAACAUUUUGCAAACAACGAAGAAUUUUGAUCAGUAAGUAGAAUACACUUUCAAGUAUAUUAUUAUGUUGCAUAUGAUUACUGUUGUACCCCCGAUUCAAGUGUUUCUGAUUUUUAAUUUGUAUCACAAUCAUGAUGAGCAUGGUGUGAUCGGUUGCUUGUGAGAAGAGGAAAUUUGACUCUUCCACCUUUAUUUUUUGCUUUUCUUAUUAUUCAUUUAUCUAUUUGCAGAGAGGUAUAUGCAUAUAUAAAUAUUGGUAUCCACGCUGCAGAUAUUCUAUAAACAUUACUUUAUGGAGAUUUUAUUAUUAUAUCCACAGAAGAAUGGAGAUGCAUACUGUAGAGACAUGUUACACCUUUUUCUUGUUAUGGUUUUCAGAAGAUAUUUAUAUGCUCUCCUUGCACUUGCAAUAAGAUUGGUACCUUUGAAAGUUCAUUGUAACAGAUAUAUUAACAACUUCAAGGGCGUUGUGCUGAGGCUUUGCCUGAAGUUUGGAUUCUGGAUUGUACCACCAUGGGAUUGAAUGGUAAGCCAAUACUUCAAAUUCUUUAUUUUUUGCUUUUCCUAUUAUUCAUUUAUCUAUUUGCAGAUAGGUAUAUGCAUAUAUAAAUAUUGGUAUCCAUGCUGCAGAUAUUCUAUAAACAUUACUUUCUGCAGAUUUUAUUAUUAUAUCCACAGAAGAAUGGAGAUGCAUACUGUAGAGACAUGUUACACCUUUUUCUUGUUAUGGUUUUCAGAAGUUAUUUAUAUGCUCUCCUUGCACUUGCAAUAAGAUUGGUACCUUUGAAAGUUCAUUGUAACAGAUAUAUUAACAACUUCAAGGGCGUUGUACUAAGGCUUUGCCUGAAGUUUGGAUUCUGGAUUGUACCACCAUGAGAUUGAAUGGUGAGCCAAUACUUCAAAUUCUACCUCUCUUUAUCACUCUUUCUUGGGUGUCCUCAAGUUAGUGUUGAUUCCUCCCAAAGGUUCUUUGGCAUAAGAGACCCUCAUACUAGGUUGGUGAUUAUCUUCAAGAACUCUUGAGAUCCCAUAUAGGAAAUUGUUUCUUCCACGUAUAAUUGUCGAUUUCGCGCAUAUCUUGGAUUACUUGCAUGAGGUUUCUCUCUUUGAAGGCCAUUCCAUCUGGUAAAAGACACUGCAAACUGCAAGCACCAUAAAGUUAAGAGUGCAGUGUCAUACUCUCAACAAAAGGGGUAAUUUGUUCGAUGAAAUCGGCAUCUUCAGCUAAAGCAAGCAUCUGAACUCUAGCAGAGAAAACUGUUGUGGAUUGAAGGACAUUUUGGUAGUGUUGUAGCCUGUUUCAGCUAGUAAAAAGGCAGGAUUUCUAUAUUUCGCGCUCUCACUCUCUCCUUUGUGCGCUCUCUCUCGGUCCACUUCACCAAGAUGGCAAGAUGCCACUAGAAGCUCCAUCCAUAGAGAAGAUUGAUUUUUCCAUCUCUCAGUGGAUUGACGACAAGCCUAGUACGUUUUGCUUUAACUUAAUUUUUCUCUCUCUCGUCUGAGUCAUUUGGGUUUUGAUUAUUGGGCUUCCUUAUUCACAAAUGGAGUUUAAGCAUAUUUUCCUCCAAAUCCAUCUGUGUCAUAUUGUGUAUUUUGAGUAUUGGGUUUCCAUAAGACCAUUUGGUAUUUGAUGAUCUUGAUUUUACAAAUUUACGAAUCUGGGUCUUUAGAAUUUGUGAAUCUUGGGGUUUUGGGUUGAAGAACUAGUCUUUUUCUAGUUGGUGGGUGAAUUAUUAUUCCUUUUAUUUGCCGAAUAAUAUACAAUGACAGAAAUACGUGGAAUUUUCUGAAACAAUUUUUUUUAAAAGUAUGUCGUUGUCAAAAGGAUGAUGGAGGUUCAUGGGAACCAAAAGGAUGGGGGUUUAUUCUGUA